rnacentral:rRNA from 1 species
CCAAUAGCGUAUAUUAAAGUUGUUGCAGUUAAAAAGCUCGUAGUUGAAUUUUAGGCCUGGUCGGGCGGUCCGUUUUUGGCGAGUACUGUCUGCUGUCGGGUCUUCCUUCUGGUGAACCAGUAUGCCCUUUAUUGGGUGUGUUGGGGAGCCAGGACCAUUACUUUGAAAAAAAUUAGAGUGUUUAAAGCGGGCUAUUGCUUGAAUAGAUUAGCAUGGAAUAAUAGAAUAGGACGUUGUGGUUCUAUUUUGUUGGUUUCUAGGACCACCGUAAUGAUUAAUAGGGAUAGUUGGGGGCAUUAGUAUUCAAUUGUCAGAGGUGAAAUUCUUGGAUUUAUUGAAGACUAACUACUGCGAAAGCAUUUGCCAAGGAUGUUUUCAUUAAUCAAGAAUGAAAGUUAGGGGAUCGAAGACGAUCAGAUACCGUCGUAGUCUUAACCAUAAACUAUGCCGACUAGGAAUCGGGCGACGUUAUUUUCACGACUCGCUCGGCGCCUUAUG